AUGAUGUUGAUGUGUGAACUCGUGGACAAGCAGGAUCCAGUUCUUCAAGAGCUGGCUAAAGAAAUUGUUGUGCUCGUGAAAGAAAAAGUUCACCUUCAUAAUCAUGGUUCGGAAACUCGUGUCGAUGCUACUGAUGCGGGAGGUGACUCCGAAACUUACGUCGAUGCUACAGACGUAAGUGCUAACUUUGCUGGAUCGGAUACAGCGAAAGCAGCGUGUGCUCGACCAUGGAGAAGCAGUCUUUGUGUUGGUCAACUGGAGGGCGGCCGCAAAAGCGACACAAAAGACAAUGACGUAAUGGCGUACGUGGCGCCAGAUGUCCACGAAAACAACUCGGCAAAGAGCGUUGCAGGCGGUCGCCAAGUAGCGAGUCGAGGCGAUUGA
rnacentral:rRNA from 1 species